GGAUGAACGCUGGCGGCGUGCCUAAUACAUGCAAGUCGAACGAGGUGCUUUUGUAGCAAUACGAGAGUAUCCUAGUGGCGAACGGGUGAGUAACGCGUUGGUGACCUACCCCAAAGUGUGGGAUAACAGUCCGAAAGGAUUGCCAAUACCGCAUGUGGUUAUUGGAUUUAGAAACCGGUAACUAAAGGAGCAAUUCGCUUUGGGAGGGACCUGCGUCCCAUCAGCUAGUUGGUGAGGUAAUGGCUCACCAAGGCUACGACGGGUAGGGGACCUGAGAGGGUGACCCCCCACAAUGGGACUGAAACACGGUCCAUACACCUACGGGUGGCAGCAGUAGGGAAUAUUGCACAAUGGGCGAAAGCCUGAUGCAGCAACGCCGCGUGUGUGAUGAAGGCCUUCGGGUCGUAAAGCACUUUUCUGGGAGAUGAGAAAGGACAGUAUCCCAGGAAUAAGUCUCGGCUAACUACGUGCCAGCAGCCGCGGUAAAACGUAGGAGGCAAGCGUUAUCCGGAUUCACUGGGCGUAAAGCGCGUGCAGGUGGCGCGGUAAGUUGGGCGUGAAAUCUCCCGGCUCAACUGGGAGAGGUCGUUCAAUACUACCGUGCUUGAGAGCAGAAGAGGAAGAUGGAAUUCCCGGUGUAGUGGUGAAAUGCGUAGAUAUCGGGAGGAACACCAGUGGCGAAGGCGAUCUUCUGGUCUGUUUCUGACACUCAGACGCGGCAGCUAGGGUAGUAAACGGGAUUAGAGACCCCGGUAAUCCUAGCCGUAAACGAUGUGAACUUGGCGUUGGUGGGUUAAACUCCAUCAGUGCCGAAGCAAACGCGAUAAGUUCACCGCCUGGGGACUACGGCCGCAAGGUUAAAACUUAAAUGAAUUGACGG
rnacentral:rRNA from 1 species